rnacentral:rRNA from 1 species
AGCCCAACAGCUAGCUCACCACCCAAAGCAUAACCACACACUAUUAAAUAGCCCCUAAUAACCUACAAACCAUUCAACCAAACCAUUUUACCGCCCUAGUACGGGAGACAGAAAAGGAAGCACUGAAGCGAUAGCCAUAGUACCGCAAGGGAACGCUGAAAGAGAAGUGAAACAAAUCAGUAAAAGCAUAAAAAAGCAGAGUUUAAUUCUCGUACCUUUUGCAUCAUCACUUAGUAAGAAGCCGCCAGGCAAAAGGAAUUUUAGUCUGACCCCCCGAAUCCAAGUGAGCUACUCCAAGACAGCCUAGUAAUAGGGCAAACCCGUCUCUGUGGCAAAAGAGUGGGAAGAGCUUUGAGUAGAGGUGACAGACCUACCGAACUUGGCUAUAGCUGGUUGCCCAAGAAAUGAAUAGAAGUUCAGCCUUUAUCCUCUCUUUCCGCAACGCCAAUUGUUACGAAGCAUCAAAGAGGUUAAAAGAGUUAGUCAAAGGGGGUUCAGCCCCUUUGAAAUAGACACAACUUUCCCAGCAGGGUUAAGAUCAAAGAACACCAGGGACCCUGUAUUAGUUGGCUUAAAAGCAGCCACCACCCUAGAAAGCGUUAAAGCUCGCACACCCCCACCCCCCCCCCAUUAUCCGGACCAAACCAUCUUACCCCCCUAACAAAUACUGGGCCGCCCCACCUCAGUGGGAGAGACCAUGCUAACAUGAGUAACAAGAGACCUAGCCUCUCUCCGCACAUAAGUGUACAUCGGAACGAACUAACCACCGAAAAUUAACGGACUCAAAAAGAGAGCAUUAGAACAUUAUGACUAACCACAAGAAAAACAUCUAACUAACCCACCGUUAACCUUACACCAGUAUGCCCAUAAGGAAAGAUUAAAAGAAAGAGAAGGAACUCGGCA